UACGUAGGGUGCAAGCGUUAAUCGGAAUUACUGGGCGUAAAGCGUGCGCAGGCGGUUGUGCAAGACAGAUGUGAAAUCCCCGGGCUCAACCUGGGAACUGCAUUUGUGACUGCACGGCUAGAGUGUGUCAGAGGGGGGUAGAAUUCCACGUGUAGCAGUGAAAUGCGUAGAGAUGUGGAGGAAUACCGAUGGCGAAGGCAGCCCCCUGGGAUGACACUGACGCUCAUGCACGAAAGCGUGGGGAGCAAACAGG
rnacentral:rRNA from 1 species